CUUUUUUGUGCUACGUUUAGCUUCCUAGCAAAUCUUGCUUUCUCAGGUAAACAGGUGCUAAAGUCUGCUAUAGUUAGCAUUCAUAUGAUAGUGAGACUCCUUUCCUCGCUACAGGCAUGUGCGCGUGGAUAUCUGGUGAGGAAAGAAGUCUGUAAAGCACGAGAAGACUUUGAAGACAUCGUGAAGGAGAUUGACGGGCGCCUGACUCAUUUAAAGUGGACGGACACGCUCAUCUCUAUUCCCCAGUUCAUAGACACGGGCAGCCUACGUCCAGCACCCAGCAGCCCUGCCACUAAGCCUCUAGAUCCAGAGACAGAUGUCAGUGCUACUCCCCAGAUCCCUGCACCCUCACCAGAGAACAGAGAUCAUCACUGUGCCCUGCUAGAGAAGACAGAAGCAGAGAGAGAUGAUUCACUGACCUGUUUACCCAGCAGCAGCUCUAUUAGAGGGGAAGGAGAGGGCCAGAGACAAAGCGGUGUGGUGGAGAGCACAACGGGGUCGUCAUCUGUCUGGAGCAGUGUUGAGUUAGAUAUGAACUAUGCUCAGUCUCAUAAAGGUUCUCGUCAGUACUGCUUGACUCAGGAGGUGCCCCGUACCCCAGAGGCCCUGCGUCUCCAUAGAAACACCCUGACCAUGGAGCUGCUCUGGCUUCAGCAGGCCAUUGACAGCAGGAAAAAGUACUUGUCGCUGAAGGAUAAACUUAGCGCAUCCUGACGGCAUUGUUACCAUGAACUGGACUUAAACAUGUGGGAGUGAUGCCUUCAUGUACACGGGAACCUGCAGCACUGAGUACCUUUUUCGUGUUUGGCAUAAGUUAAUAAACCUGU
rnacentral:lncRNA from 1 species